GGCUUAUACAUGCAAGUCGUGGGGCAGCACAGGGUAGCAAUACUUGGGUGGCGACCGGCAAACGGGUGCGGAACACGUACGCAACCUUCCUUCAGGCGGGGAAUAGCCCAGAGAAAUUUGGAUUAAUACCCCAUAAGAUUUUGAGAUGGCAUCAUCUUAUUAUUAAAGAUUUAUCACCUGAAGAUGGGCGUGCGGCUGAUUAGGUAGUUGGCGGGGUAACGGCCCACCAAGCCUACGAUCAGUAGCUGAUGUGAGAGCAUGAUCAGCCACACGGGCACUGAGACACGGGCCCGACUCCUACGGGAGGCAGCAGUAAGGAAUAUUGGUCAAUGGACGCAAGUCUGAACCAGCCAUGCCGCGUGGAGGAUGAAGGUCCUCUGGAUUGUAAACUUCUUUUAUCUGGGACGAAAAAAGGGUUUUCUAACUCGUCUGACGGUACCAGAUGAAUAAGCACCGGCUAACUCCGUGCCAGCAGCCGCGGUAAUACGGAGGGUGCAAGCGUUAUCCGGAUUCACUGGGUUUAAAGGGUGCGUAGGCGGGCAAUUAAGUCCGUGGUGAAAUACCUGAGCUUAACUUGGGAACUGCCAUGGAUACUAUUUGUCUUGAAUGUCGUGGAGGUUAGCGGAAUAUGUCAUGUAGCGGUGAAAUGCUUAGAUAUGACAUAGAACACCUAUUGCGAAGGCAGCUAACUACGCGAAUAUUGACGCUGAGGCACGAAAGCGUGGGGAUCAAACAGGAUUAGAUACCCUGGUAGUCCACGCCCUAAACGAUGAUUACUCGACAUUGGCGAUACACAGUCAGUGUCUGAGCGAAAGCAUUAAGUAAUCCACCUGGGAAGUACGACCGCAAGGUUGAAACUC
rnacentral:rRNA from 1 species